AAGCAGGUCAUAGUGAUCCGGUGGUUCUGAAUGGAAGGGCCAUCGCUCAACGGAUAAAAGGUACUCCGGGGAUAACAGGCUGAUACCGCCCAAGAGUUCAUAUCGACGGCGGUGUUUGGCACCUCGAUGUCGGCUCAUCACAUCCUGGGGCUGAAGUAGGUCCCAAGGGUAUGGCUGUUCGCCAUUUAAAGUGGUACGCGAGCUGGGUUUAGAACGUCGUGAGACAGUUCGGUCCCUAUCUGCCGUGGGCGCUGGAGAACUGAGGGGGGCUGCUCCUAGUACGAGAGGACCGGAGUGGACGCAUCACUGGUGUUCGGGUUGUCAUGCCAAUGGCACUGCCCGGUAGCUAAAUGCGGAAGAGAUAAGUGCUGAAAGCAUCUAAGCACGAAACUUGCCCCGA
rnacentral:rRNA from 1 species